rnacentral:rRNA from 1 species
UCGGCCGGGGUUCGCCCACGUACCGUGCUUAGGAUGCUGGCGUAAUGGCUUUAAGCGACCCGUCUUGAAACACGGACCAAGGAGUCUAACAUGCCUGCGAGUGUUUGGGUGUAAAACCCAGACGCGGAAUGAAAGUGAACGGUUGGGACCUCUGUCGUGGAGGGCACCGACGCCCGGACCAGACCUUUUGUGACGGUUCCGAGGUAGAGCAUGUAUGUUGGGACCCGAAAGAUGGUGAACUAUGCCUGAGUAGGGUGAAGCCAGAGGAAACUCUGGUGGAGGCUCGUAGCGAUUCUGACGUGCAAAUCGAUCGUCGAACUUGGGUAUAGGGGCGAAAGACUAAUCGA